rnacentral:ncRNA from 1 species
CUAAAAACUGUGAAAAGGAAGAGUACAUAUAUUAUUGAAACAAAGAGAGAGAAUGUUUGCUGUAAAUUCUCAUGAUUUAUAUAUGGAAUGUAGCCUUGGAGUUUUUAAUCGAAAUCUAUUUGAGAGUAGACUUAAACGGAUGCUUACCGUUACAAAAGCAAUAAUAUCGGCUAUCCCUUAGCCUGUAUUAUAAAUAAGUGUGUAUUUAAUUUACAAAAUUAGGUGGUACCGCGGUGAUUAUCUCUUCGUCCUAUUA